AUGGGUAGGAAACGCAAAAUACCAAAACAAUUAGUUGUACCUACUGAACCAAUGGUUGAAGAACCACUCAAAAUCUAUCACACUGCUGAAGCUUAUUACUUGGAUCAUCUUCGAUCCCUAUGUGCUCGUGCUGAAACCCCAACUAGCUUAGUUGAGGGCAAAUCUUUAGAUGAGCAUGCUUGUUAUGUGCGACACCGAAUAUCUGAAAAAGGAAAAAUUUUACUGGGUCAAAUUCAUCGUUUGCAAUGCUAUGCUUGGAAUUUAUGCAAAAUAUAUGAUUUUACUCGUUGUUCUGAAAACCCUAAGAAACACCUUCCCUACCAAUGUUUGUUUAGUGCUAAUGGAAUCGUAUCCUCUUAUGCUAAGGGUGUUUAUAGUUACUAUGAUGUUCAACAAAUUGAAGAAUUUGUUGCUUUUAAGGGUGCUUAUGAAAUUGCUUCUUUGAUUGAAAAGUAUGAUGCUACUCUUUACAAAUCUGAAAAUUUUGCCAUACUUAAAUAUUGCUAUGAUAAUUAUGCUUCUAAUGCCUAUGUUAAACCAUAUAUUGACUACUACUCCGCUGUCCAAGAAGAGACUAAUAUUUUGCAGGAGUCUAUGGAAGAAGAAAUUGAUGAAACUGUGAGCUCAUUGGAUGAAAAAGAUGAGGAGGAGAGCGAAGAACAAAAGGAGGAAGAUCAGAUUAGCUACCCGUGCCCACCUUCUAAUGAGAGUAACUCUUCAACUCAUGCAUUGUUUAAUUUCCCUUCGUGCUUACCGGAGGAUGAUUGCUAUGAUGAUUGUUAUGAUCCCGUUAAUUCUUUUGAAUAUCCCUUUUUGAUGAUGCUUGCUAUGCUUGUGGCCAAGAUGCCAAUAUGA
rnacentral:rRNA from 1 species